rnacentral:ncRNA from 1 species
UUGAGCCGUGUGCAGGGAAACCCGCACGCACGGUUCUUAGGAGAGCGAUGAUUGGAAACAGUCAUCGCUUAUCCGAGU